GGCGGGGUAGCUCAGAUGGUUAGAGCGUAGGAUUCAUAACCCUAAGGCCGGCAGUUCGAUCCUGCUCCCCGCUA
rnacentral:tRNA from 1 species